rnacentral:rRNA from 1 species
GACGAACGCUGGCGGCGUGCUUAACACAUGCAAGUCGAACGGAAAGGCCCUGCUUGCAGGGUACUCGAGUGGCGAACGGGUGAGUAACACGUGGGUGAUCUGCCCUGCACUUCGGGAUAAGCCUGGUAAACUGGGUCUAAUACCGGAUAGGAGCCAUUUUUAGUGUGAUGGUUGGAAAGUUUUUUCGGUGUAGGAUGAGCUCGCGGCCUAUCAGCUUGUUGGUGGGGUAAUGGCCUACCAAGGCGGCGACGGGUAGCCGGCCUGAGAGGGUGGACGGCCACACUGGGACUGAGAUACGGCCCCGACUCCUACGGGUGGCAGCAGUGGGGAAUAUUGCACGAUGGGCGCAAGCCUGAUGCAGCGACGCCGCGGGGGGGAUGACGGCCUUCGGGUUGUAAACUCCUUUCGCUAGGGACGAAGCUUUUUGUGACGGUACCUAGAUAAGAAGCACCGGCUAACUACGUG